UUCAAAACAUAAUGCCUUCAAACAACAGCACAUUUGGUUGUGUGUGUGGCAGGGUGGAGAUCAGGAUUUCUGGAGCUGCUUAGCUGAGAGGUUUUGGUUAAGGGUCUCCCAGGAGGUUGCCAUGAAGGUGCAGGCUGGGGUCACAGGCACUGGAAGGCAUGGCUGGAGCAAGCAGACCAUUUCCAAGUGGCUCACUCUCAUAGCUGCCAAGUUGGUGAUUGCUGUUUGUAGAUACAUCCAGUUCCUUCCACAUCAACCCUGCCAUAGGCUGCUUGAGUAGUCUCAUGACAUGGCAGCUGGCUCACCCCAGAAUAAGGAAAUGACUUACUGCAAAGAACCACUCUUCCCCACGAGACUUCGAGAAGACCCGCUGUCACGGACUGAGUUGUGUCCUCUUAAAAUUCAGAUGUUGGAGUCCAAACCCCCAGUAACUCAGAGUGUGAACGUAUUUGAAGAGGUCUUUAAAGAGGUGAUGAAGGUCUUUGUCUCUGACAAUUUGCCUCUGUGACGUGGAUGGGACUGGAAGUCCAUUUGGAGCCCUGUCUUCUCCACCUAGGGAGAGAGACCCCAUGAGCUCGUCAAGCUCCUUCUGUGACUGAUCAGAGAUCCCACCGUGAGUCCAGCUCCUGGUCCCAUGCUCUGGAUAUAUCGGUCCCUGGCAGCGUGCAACUCCUUAGCCAAAGACGUGGCAACUGCGGGUGAAGUAUCUCUGGGCAGGAAAUCAAUGCAGAAAUGCAACUGGGGAGAGGGGGCUUGGGGGCCAGUUCCAGGGAGAUUGGAACUGCUGUGUUCUCAUCAGCAGAAGUGGCCCCUGCCCACCCCCAUCCUAAUCCCUUCUCAUGUGGGAGAAGGUCUGUGAGCCCUCUCCCUACCAGGCAGGUUCUAUGGCAAUGUGGGCACAUACCCUGGGGCAGGGGCCGAGGGACUUAACUCACUUCAUGAGCGCCAAUGGAGGAGCGAAGGGAAUGCCUGAUGAAAACAACAUUCUACCAGUAUGCACUGUUUUCUAACCUACAGAGUGCCUCUGUGUUCACUGUCCCAUUUGAGAAUUCUAAGUAGAAUUCUGAACAGGCUGGAGCAGAUUGCCCACCCCAAGGGACAGAUGUUGGCUGGUACUGUUGGUAUUCAUGGAAGAUUCCUUCUGACACUCCCUCCUUCUUUGUAAUUGCCAUGAACUGGAGCACUGGGCCAAUAUAAAUCAUCCAAGGGUGAACACGCUGCACAUGGACGGCUCCUCUUUGUUUUUGAAGGGAUUCCAUCUCUAUUUUGCCAUGUGCUCCUUCACCCCACUCCCCACCCCCGUCUUUCAUUUCUUUCUCUGGAAAAGAUACUUCAACUCACAGGACUGCGAUGUUGAAACGGACACCCAAGAGCAUCACAGAUGGGCCAGGCCUGGACCUCUCGGGACAACAUUCCUCACGACUUUUAGAUAGAAGAGAUUAGAGAUUUGGGACUGGUGGCAACUGGUAACGUUUUCAGUGUUUGGUAAACAGCCAGGGUCCGGAGCUCUGGGAACAGCCUGAUUUAGCUCUUUGUUUAAGUUUUGUGUUAGAGGCUCCCAAGAAGCUGAUGCAGGGGAAAGAAAUUAACAACCAUGGCUCAUUCACAGCCAGGCAGCCAAAUGGACAGCUCUAUAAGACUCAAGCCGACAGCGGAGAGAGUGCAACCAAACAGCCUUGGCCCAGCUUUCAGAGGAGAACGUUAUUCACCCCAACUGCUCUGCAUCUGCCUGGAUGUCUGCCAAGAUCUGUGAGCAUUACAGCGUUGGUAUGCUUUGGGUGAGGCCUGUGGCUAUGGCAACAAGUUGGGAGCAACCCGGUCCCUGGGAAUGAGAACAGUGUCUAAAAUCAGGCAGGCGAGGGGCAGGGAGGAGAGGUAAAGGUUGGACUUGCCUGAAGAUGGAGCCGUUUUAUUGUUGUGGGUAAAGCUGCUACCAUUAGGGGCUGUUUACAGAGUGGGUGCAGCUCAAGCUGGGAGCAUGUUAGACUCAGCGACUACGAUCAACCUAUUGACUUGUUCCCAUGAGACAGAGUAAAUUAACUGUUGCAGUACUGGUCAUGUACCACCAACCUCCUGUGAACCAGCCCUCAGUGAAACAUUUAUGUGAAAGGCCAUGGUGUUCCCAUAAGAGGGUGCAUGUUCUCUCCCUUGACUAACUCUUCAGUAUGCCUCAUUCUCACGCGCUGGUGUGCAGGAAGGAGUCCAACAUGCCCCAUUGACAGUCAUGCCCUGUAUGUGGAAAGUCUUCAGGUAGAGCACUGGGCUCAGGUUUGAAGAUGUGAGUUCUAAUCCUAGCAAGGCCAUUACCUCCCAGUGACCUCAUGUCUCGAUUUCCUCAACCACAAAACAAAGGCAUUGGUGAGCUGACCUCUAAGGCCUCUCCAGUUCUCACCUUCUGUGUCUCUACAGACUGGAGACUAGAAGAUUAUGGGCACUUUUAUUGAGUCUUCAUUUUGUUUCCAUUUCUUUGUAGUCAUCAGCUGGAGUUGAGGACAAGUUUUAACAAUAGAUAGGUUUCUUUUUGUCUCUUUUUAAAAAAUUUUAUUUAAAAUAAAUGCCAAGUGUAGUGGCUCAUACCUGUAAUCCCAGCACUUUGGGGAGGCCAAGGUGGGAGGAUUGCUUUUGAGUUUGAGACCAGCCUGGGCAACGUGGUGAGACCCUGUUUGUACAAAAAAUUUUAAAUUAGCCAGGCAUGGUGGCGUGUGCCUAUAGUCCUAGCUACUCUGGAGGUAGAGGCAGGAGGAUCCCUUGAACCUGGGAGGUUGAGGCCACAGUGAGCUGUGAUUGUGCUAUUGAACUCUAGCCUGGGCAACAGAGCAAGACCCUGUCUCUUAAAAAAGACUAUUUUUUAAGAACACUUUUAGGUUCACAGCGAAAUUUGGAGGAAACUUGGCAUAUGUCAUAUGCCCCCUGCUCCCAUGCAUGCACAGCCUCUACCAUUAGCAAUGUCCCCACUCAAAUGGUACCUUUGUUGUAAUCAACAACCCUGUACUGACACAUCAUCAUCACCCAAACUCCAUAGUUCACAUUAGGUUUCACUCUUGGUGUGGUGUACAUUCCAUGGGCUUGAACAACUGUAUAAUGACAUUAUCCACCACUGCAGGAUCAUACAGAGUAGUCUCACUGCCCUAAAACUACUCUGUGCUCCACCUGUUUGUCCCUUCUUUCACUCUAAACUCCUGGCAACAACUGACCUUUUUACUGCCUCGAUAGCUUUGCCUUCUUCGGAAUGUCAUGUAGUUGAAAUCAUACAUCAUGAAGCCUUUUCAGAUUGGCUUCAUAUAGGUUUCCUUCCUUCCUUCCUCCCACCACCUUCCUUUCUUUCUGUAUUCCUAACUCUUGGAUGUAUUUUCCCCAGCAUCAUGACUUGAUGGGACUUUUGCUAAGAUAGGCAAUCAUAGAAAGUCAUAAAUCUCUUGUCAGCCUUAUUGGCUCACCUCCGAGAUGGUUCCAACACUCUUUAAGGCCCACUUUUCCAAUCCACAGAUUCCCCAGCAGAAGUCCAAGCUGCUGAGCCUCACAUCAUCUUUUGCACUAGUAAUCUUUACCACUACUUCACUGUAGCAUUUGAAAAUUUUCAUAUGAAGCCAUAGUUCUGUGUCUUUUUUUUUUUUUUUUUUUUUUUGGAGACGGAGUCUUAACCUGUUGCCCAGGCUGGAGUGCAGUGGCACAGUCUUAGCUCACUGCAAGCUCCGCCUCACGGGUUCAAGUGAUUCUUGCCUCAGCCUCCCAAGUAGCUGGGAUUACAGGCGCGCCACCAUGCCCAGCUAAAUUUGUUGGCAUUUUUAGUAGAGAUGGGGUUUCACCAUGUUGGCCAGGCUGGUCUCAAACUCCUUACCUCAGGUGAUCUGCCUGCCUCAGCCUCCCAAAGUGCUGGGAUUAAAGGUGUGAGCCACCGCACCUGGCCUGAAGCCAUAGUUCUUAACCUCAGUUGUGCAAUAGAAUUAUCUGGGGAAUUUAAAAAUUAGAAAAAACCCAUGCCCUGAAGAUUGUGAUCUAACUGGUCUUGCGUAGCGCCUGGGCAUUGGUAUUUUUUAAAUGUUUCCCAACUGAUACUAAUGUGGCCAUUCUGCAAGCCACAGUUGAAAGGCUUAUUCAAGCAUCCUGUUGCUGAAUGCAUGUCGUCCUUACCACAUGACUCUGGAGGUUUUCUUGUAUUCUGAUGUGGCUGCCCUGUUGAGGCCUGCCCCUUAGAGUGGAGAUUAUCCCCUGCAGUAGGCUGCCUGGAAUAUGAUCCCCAGUGAUCCCUGCUUCCUGGUAUUCAGGCCCUGGUGUGAUCCCUUUCCCUUGAAGCCUGGGCUGGAUUAGUGACUUGCUUCUAACCAACAGCAUAUGGCAAAAAUAAAUGUUUAUUGUUUUAAA
rnacentral:lncRNA from 1 species